rnacentral:rRNA from 1 species
AGUUUGAUCCUGGCUCAGAUUGAACGCUGGCGGAAUGCUUUUACACAUGCAAGUCGAACGGCAGCACGGACUUCGGUCUGGUGGCGAGUGGCGAACGGGUGAGUAACACAUCGGAACGUGCCCAGACGGUGGGGAUAGCUCGGCGAAAGCCGAAUUAAUACCGCAUACGAUCUAAGGAUGAAAGCGGGGAUCGCAAGACCUCGCGCGUUUGGAGCGGCCGAUGGCAGAUUAGGUAGUUGGUGGGUAAAGGCUCACCAAGCCGACGAUCUGUAGCUGGUCUGAGAGGACGACCAGCCACACUGGGACUGAGACACGGCCCAGACUCCUACGGGAGGCAGCAGGUGGGAAUUUUGGACAAUGGGCGAAAGCCUGAUCCAGCCAUUCCGCGUGCAGGAUGAAGGCCCUCGGGUUGUAAACUGCUUUUGUACAGAACGAAAGGUUUUGGAUAAUACCCAGGACUCAUGACGGUACUGUAAGAAUAAGCACCGGCUAACUACGUGCC